UUAGGAGCGGGUGACAGAUGCGCAAGGUGCCCUGAGGGCUUGGAGAGAGGCUAGUCAGGCAUAAAUACCACAGCAGGCUGUGCAGGCAGUUUAUGCUGCAGGAUGUGGAAGCUGGAGAAGUCUGGGGAAAGUGGAAAUGAGAACUGGGGAAGAGGAUUGUAUUCAGAUCCUGCUUAGUAAAAGGGAGGAAGGUAGCAGAUAUAUUUUUAAGAAGGUAAAUGAUGCAUAGCAGGGAUUUAGAGCUUUGAUUUCAGGAGAAAGAACUAGUAUAGCAGUGAUGUAUGUAUGGGGAAAAUGCCCUGGGCUCUAGAUUGCGUGUUAGGAAAUAAGUCUUGAGCUAAAGAUACGUAAGGUUUAUUGUAGAAAUGUGAGGUUUUAGGCCAUAUGGAUAUUGUCUCACAGACCCUACUGUUACUGAUGCCUUUGCUAGUCACCCCGCAGGUAGCAGAGGAUUGUAGCAGCAUUCCCAGUCAGCCUGAGGUCGUGUUGGGCACAGAGGGCAGCACGGGACAGGACGCAGCAGCCAUCCGCAUGGAGCUCCCGGCUCUGCAGAAGCUGUCUAGCGCUGUCCGGAUCUGUGUGUGGGGGGUGUUUCUUCCCCCGAAGUUUUCCUGGAACCGGGCACGGGACGGAGCCGCCUCCCGCCUGGGGGACGGGGACAGCCGCGGGCCGCCGGCGCCACCUCCUGGGAGCGCUGAGUAUCGCGGAGGCCUCCGCCUCACAAAGAUGCUGGCAGAAGCCUGUACAUCCCUGAGUCUUGAAAGUCAGAUGAUGGCUGUAUGAAUCCCAUUCUGCUCUUAGGUCUGGAAGGGUACCCAUAGGCAAUACAAGAUGACUUCAGUUCAUACUGUCCCUGGUUCUUGCAUUGCUGCACUAGAUUUAAAUAAUAAAAAUAAUAAAUUACAACAGAAUCUAUAUAUAGACAAAGUUUCUAGUCAUCCCCUUGCAGCUCAGAAAAAAAAGUGUCCCCAGUGCAAGCAGAAAGAAGGAAGUAUGUUCCACCUAUGACUUGAAGAAGUAACACAGUGCUAUGGAAAAUAAAAUUUACAGUUGCAGCUUCAGUUCCUGUUUUCUCCUGCUGCAGAGGGAGUGCCUGCUGGAUUUAGGGAGACAAUUAGGAAUAUCAUAGUGAUUAGCGUAUCUUCUUUGCCAAAUCUCCACCAUGGCCUGAGUUCCAGGGCCUGGCUUAUGGGCCUGUUGAAUUUAAGAAAGCCAAACAUUUCCUUGCAAUGACUUCCUUCCAUGCUCAUGUAUCCCCAAGAGCAGGACUUCUUGUCAAGCACUUCAUGUGUUUGAAGUGCAGUACUCCUAAAAGCAGGUGGAUCUGGAUUUUAGAAAUAAUUAAAAUCUUGUGGUGACUGAAAAGGUUUCCUCCAUUGGCCUCAUGGGCACUUGCAAAGUUGAAGCUUUCCUGCAGAGCAGCUUCACUUUCUGUACAAGGGGUAGCAAAACUGGGAUGGCAGGCAGGAGAUGCUGAGAUCUUGUCCUGUACUCUGGCAUUGCACACUGGUUUUUGCUGUUGAUCUCCUUUUGACGUGACAUGAAGUCUUCAACACUCAGUGUCUAAAUGUUUACAGUAUCUGUGUCUGCUAGAUAUAUUGGAUUGCUUUUACUGUUAUUAAAAUUAGAAUAAUCAGUUCCAACAGGAAGCUGACCAGAUGUCCUCAUUUAAUCAGAACAGAUCCCCUUUUUUCACGUAAUAUCCAGCUGUCCUAAUACUUUUCAGAGUAGACCCAUUAAUCUCAGUUUUCGUUGCAGUGAAAUUCUUGAUAGCUGUCAAGAAAUGCUCACUAAUAAUUGUCUGAUCCCUUCAUACUGUUUAAUGCUCAGAACUUUUCUUAAUAAGCAAAGAAAAUCAUAUUCUAUUUGCAAGGAAAUGCUUCAGUCUCACCCCUAGUGUAAAAUAUUUUCAAGAGAAUUCAUUAUGAAAGUAUUUUUGGAUUAAUUUAAUUUGUACACUAUUUUCUCAGACUGUAGGAAGCAGUUGGAAUGUUGUCUGGCAGAAUGUGUAGGGGAGAGAAAAUACACAUUUCUACAUAUGGG
ensembl:lncRNA